GCCCCUCAGCUAGUACAGUUAUCUCCUGUUCCAGUGCCGCCAUCCAAGGGUUUGUGACCCCUCUUCUCCACCGCCGCCAGAGCUACUGCAUAGCGUGGCUUCCCUCUUCUAUUUCUUCCGCUGCCGCCUUCUUCUCUUUCAUUUAGGCUGCCACUGAUUUCUAGUCGAGCAGCUGUGCAACAGUUUACUGGUUCCUAUCCCUAGUAAGUGAAGUCUAUUGAUCUGAUCUGCCUAGCCGAUUCCAUCUGUUGCAGCCAGCAGCGAGAGGAAAGAGAAGCAGGGAGGGGGAAAGAUUUGGGCCUUGCAAGAUCCACCAAAUUUCUUUAGAAAAGCUUAAUUUGUGGGUUAAGGUUCAAUUCUAGUGGCAAGCAUGUGACGUCGGAUUCUCGACAAGGUUAAGGCAAGUGCAACGAAGAAUUUCUUGUUGUGUGGAUAUGUUUAUCGUUUUCUUGCUGUCCACCUGGAUUAUAUUUAUUUGGUGGCUUUAUUUCAUAUGUUAGAUUCUUCAAGUUUAUGCUGUAAUUUCUGAUUCCUUAAAUAUUAUUCAAGCGCCGGGAGUUUAAAUAAACACCGAUUGUGCAA